rnacentral:sRNA from 1 species
CGCGCCGGGGCCGCUCCCCCACACUGAGGGACAGCACCACCCAGAACACAGAUGACCUGCUGGUGGCCUCUGCUGAGUGUCCAAGCGAUGAUGAGGACCUGGAGGAGUGUGAGCCCAGUACUGCCAACCCCACAGGGCCUGGGGAGCGGGGCCCGCCGGGCGCAGUGGAGGUGAUCCGGGAGUCCAGCAGCACCACGGGCAUGGUGGUGGGCAUUGUGGCGGCGGCGGCGCUCUGCAUCCUCAUCCUCCUCUACGCCAUGUAUAAGUACCGCAAUCGUGAUGAGGGCUCCUACCAGGUGGACCAGAGCCGGAACUACAUCAGUAACUCGGCCCAGAGCAAUGGGGCGGUGGUGAAAGAGAAGGCCCCGGCUGCCCCCAAGACGCCCAGCAAGGCCAAGAAGAACAAAGACAAGGAGUAUUACGUCUGAGCCCCCGGCACUGCGCCCCACUGCCAGCUGCCCCUCCUGGGAGGGCCCGGGAGGAGGGUGCCACCCUCUCCCUGCCAGGGGCCUGGGGACCCUCUCCCUGGCUGCCUCAGGCUUCUCUUACGAAGAGGAAACGCAAAAAAAGAAAAGGAAAA